AGUGAACGCUGGCGGUAGGCCUAACACAUGCAAGUCGAACGGCAGCACAGUAAGAGCUUGCUCUUACGGGUGGCGAGUGGCGGACGGGUUAGGAAUACAUCGGAAUCUACUUUUUCGUGGGGGAUAACGUAGGGAAACUAACGCUAAUACCGCAUACGACCUACGGGUGAAAGCAGGGGAUCUUCGGACCUUGCGCGAUUGAAUGAGCCGAUGUCGGAUUAGCUAGUUGGCGGGGUAAAGGCCCACCAAGGCGACGGUCCGUAGCUGGUCUGAGAGGGUGAACAGCCACACUGGGACUGAGACACGGUCCAGACUCCUACGGGAGGCAGCAGUGGGGAAUAUUGGACAAUGGGCGCAAGCCUGAUCCAGCCAUACCGCGUGGGUGAAGAAGGCCUUCGGGUUGUAAAGCCCUUUUGUUGGGAAAGAAAAGCAGCAGGUUAAUACCCCGCUGUUCUGACGGUACCCAAAGAAUAAGCACCGGCUAACUUCGUG
rnacentral:rRNA from 1 species